AGAGAGAGAGAGAGAGAGCAGAAGGAGAUAGCAAGAGUGAGAGCGGCACGUGUUGGCCGCCUUUUUGUGCAACUGAAGCGCGUAAUUUGUUGGACAAGCCAUAAAUAAAUAUGAAACAUAAACGCAUAAAAAAUCAAA